UCGAACGAGGAGCCCGUAACGGGUGGAUUAGUGGCGAACGGGUGAGUAACACGUGGGCAAUCUGCCCUUCACUCUGGGACAAGCCCUGGAAACGGGGUCUAAUACCGGAUACGACCUGCCGAGGCAUCUCGGUGGGUGGAAAGCUCCGGCGGUGAAGGAUGAGCCCGCGGCCUAUCAGCUUGUUGGUGGGGUAAUGGCCUACCAAGGCGACGACGGGUAGCCGGCCUGAGAGGGCGACCGGCCACACUGGGACUGAGACACGGCCCAGACUCCUACGGGAGGCAGCAGUGGGGAAUAUUGCACAAUGGGCGAAAGCCUGAUGCAGCGACGCCGCGUGAGGGAUGACGGCCUUCGGGUUGUAAACCUCUUUCAGCAGGGAAGAAGCGAAAGUGACGGUACCUGCAAAAGAAGCGCCGGCUAACUACGUGCCAGCAGCCGCGGUAAUACGUAGGGCGCAAGCGUUGUCCGGAAUUAUUGGGCGUAAAGAGCUCGUAGGCGGCUUGUCACGUCGGAUGUGAAAGCCCGGGGCUUAACCCCGGGUCUGCAUUCGAUACGGGCAGGCUAGAGUGUGGUAGGGGAGAUCGGAAUUCCUGGUGUAGCGGUGAAAUGCGCAGAUAUCAGGAGGAACACCGGU
rnacentral:rRNA from 1 species